rnacentral:rRNA from 1 species
GUUGACCUCGGAUCAGGUAGGAAUACCCGCUGAACUUAAGCAUAUCAAUAAGCGGAGGAAAAGAAACCAACAGGGAUUGCCCCAGUAACGGCGAGUGAAGCGGCAACAGCUCAAAUUUGAAAUCUGGCCUCGGCCCGAGUUGUAAUUUGCAGAGGAUGCUUCUGGCGCGGUGCCUUCCGAGUUCCCUGGAACGGGACGCCAUAGAGGGUGAGAGCCCCGUAUGGUUGGAUACCUAGCCUGUGUGAAGCUCCUUCGACGAGUCGAGUAGUUUGGGAAUGCUGCUCAAAAUGGGAGGUAUAUCUCUUCUAAAGCUAAAUACCGGCCAGAGACCGAUAGCGCACAAGUAGAGUGAUCGAAAGAU